rnacentral:rRNA from 1 species
AAGACCUUGCGCUUUUGGAGCGGCCGAUGUCUGAUUAGCUAGUUGGUAGGGUAAUGGCUUACCAAAGCUUCGAUCAGUAGCUGGUCUGAGAGGACAACCAGCCACACUGGGACUGAGACACGGCCCAGACUCCUACGGGAGGCAGCAGUGGGGAAUUUUGGACAAUGGGCGCAAGCCUGAUCCAGCCAUGCCGCGUGAGUGAAGAAGGCCUUCGGGUUGUAAAGCUCUUUCAGCCGGGAAGAAAAGGCUACGACGAAUAAUCGUAGCUCAUGACGGUACCGGAAGAAGAAGCACCGGCUAACUACGUGCCAGCAGCCGCGGUAAUACGUAGGGUGCGAGCGUUAAUCGGAAUUACUGGGCGUAAAGGGUGCGCAGGCGGUUUUGUAAGUCAGAUGUGAAAUCCCCGGGCUUAACCUGGGAACU